rnacentral:rRNA from 1 species
GACGAACGCUGGCGGCGUGCUUAACACAUGCAAGUCGAACGGAAAGGCCCUGCUUUUGUGGGGUGCUCGAGUGGCGAACGGGUGAGUAACACGUGAGUAACCUGCCCUUGACUUUGGGAUAACUUCAGGAAACUGGGGCUAAUACCGGAUAGGAGCUCCUGCUGCAUGGUGGGGGUUGGAAAGUUUCGGCGGUUGGGGAUGGACUCGCGGCUUAUCAGCUUGUUGGUGGGGUAGUGGCUUACCAAGGCUUUGACGGGUAGCCGGCCUGAGAGGGUGACCGGCCAAAUUGGGACUGAGAAAAGGCCCAGACUCCUACGGGAGGCAGCAGUGGGGAAUAUUGCACAAUGGGCGGAAGCCUGAUGCAGCAACGCCGCGUGCGGGAUGACGGCCUUCGGGUUGUAAACCGCUUUCGCCUGUGACGAAGCGUGAGUGACGGUAAUGGGUAAAGAAGCACCGGCUAACUACGUG